ensembl:misc_RNA Metazoa_SRP Metazoan signal recognition particle RNA
GCUGGGCAUGGUGGCGGGUGCCUGUAAUCCUAGCUACACGGGAGGCUGAGGCAGAAGAAUCACUUGAACCUGGGAUGUGAGGGUUGCAGUGAGCUGAGAUCACACCACUGCACCCCAGCUUGGGCGACAGAGUGAGACUCUGCCUCUA